rnacentral:rRNA from 1 species
GUGAGGAAUUUUCCGCAAUGGGCGAAAGCCUGACGGAGCAAUGCCGCGUGAAGGAUGAAGGCCUAUGGGUUGUAAACUUCUUUUCUCAGAAAAGAAUUAUGACGGUAUCUGAGGAAUAAGCAUCGGCUAACUCUGUGCCAGCAGCCGCGGUAAGACAGAGGAUGCAAGCGUUAUCCGGAAUGAUUGGGCGUAAAGCGUCUGUAGGUUGUUUAAAAAGUAUUCUGUCAAAGAUUAGGGCUUAAACAUAGAUAGGCAGAAUAAACUUUUAAGCUAGAGUGUGGUAGAGGCAGAGGGAAUUCCCGGUGGAGCGGUGAAAUGCGUAGAUAUCGGGAGGAACACCAAAGGCGAAGGCACUCUGCUGUGCCAAUACUAACACUGAGAGACGAAAGCGAGGGGAGCAAAUGGGAUUAGAAACCCGGGUAGUCC